rnacentral:tRNA from 1 species
AGAGAAUUGACUGAGUGGUUUAAAGUGACAAGCUUGAAACUUGUUUUGGUGAAAACUAACAUCCGUUCGAAUCGGAUAUUCUCUG